UCUCUCACUUACUUCCCACAUCCUCUCGCUCUCUCCCCAGCUCUUUCUCUCCCUCGUCUACACCUCUCAUCUCGUUUUUGUCUGUCACCUCUUCCUCCCUUGUUUCCUCUCCUUCUCAAAACACCUCCACCAACCACGUUGAAAGCCCUGUCGGAGCAAUACCUACGGCGCUCCUCAUCACUCUACCCUUGCUGGCUGCGGCAGUUGCAGUGUGCUACUACAAAACGACCAGGGGUGUUUUCCCAGUCCAAUUAUGGCGCAGAGGACAGCACAACUUGAAGCAUGACAUAGAGACUGAGAUGUGGAGACACACGGACAGUGAGAUGGAUCUGCAGGACCCACAACAGAGAAAAGGAGGAGAGGAGAAUGGAGACAGGAAGUCCACCAGUGACAUCAUCAUCAGUAAUCUAGAGACCACAACAAAUGGCCCUUAGUAGCAAUAGACGGCCAUGUUGAGGGGGAUUUACAGUGCUGAAAAAGACAUUAGCAAAAUAUAUAAUUGACUAACAGAAACUGCAGAAAUAAGUAUUAGGAACUGUAGACAUAAGAGAGGUCUGCAGAGGUUUUUUUCAGAAAAUGUUUCUGAUAAUUCAAUGUAUUUUUUUUAAAUAAACGAUUGUAAACAAUCAAACGAAAAUGUUUUCCUUUGCCUAGAUUCCCUGUCAUCUAUUUAUUUCCGUUUUAUUUUUUAUUAAUUCAUUUGAUUUGUCUGUCCAACUUGCAUUUUUUACAGUUUCAAGUCACAUUUUGUUUUAUGAG